rnacentral:rRNA from 1 species
CCUACGGGAGGCAGCAGUGAGGAAUAUUGGUCAAUGGACGCAAGUCUGAACCAGCCAAGCCGCGUGCAGGAAGACGGCUCUAUGAGUUGUAAACUGCUUUUGUACGAGGGUAAACGCAGAUACGUGUACCCGUCUGAAAGUACCGUACGAAUAAGGAUCGGCUAACUCCGUGCCAGCAGCCGCGGUAAUACGGAGGGUUCAAGCGUUAUCCGGAAUUAUUGGGUUUAAAGGGUGCGUAGGCGGUCGGUUAAGUUAGGGGUGAAAUCCCGCGGCUCAACUUCGGAAUUGCCGCUGAUACUGUUCGGCUAGAGUGUAGUUGCGGUAGGCGGAAUGUGUGGUGUAGCGGUGAAAUGCUUAGAUAUCAUACAGAACACCGAUUGCGAAGGCAGCUUACCAGGCUACUUCUGACGUUGAGGCACGAAAGCGUGGGGAGCAAACAGGAUUAGAUACCCGAGUAGUC